AAGAAUAUUGGGGUAACAGUAUUCUAGUCGGUGACUUCAAUUCCCAGGGUGGGCCUAAAAAUUCACCGGAGGGCAUAUCGAUGAAGUUCCUUGUGCGCGCUCGCGACGCCCAGUCGGGGGUGUGUGCUGGGAGUUAAGGUUUAGGGGCGAUCCGUAACGGCAUACGGGCGUUGACCCCUUUUCCGUGGAGACCUAUGACCGUGCGGAUACGCGCAGUUGCUUUUAUUUGUACGUAUUAGGAUGAAACCUGUGUUGCGGUGCGGAAGUUUAGCGCUGUGGACAGCGUAGCCUGCCUUGAGUGGGUAUGGUGAAUAUCGGAUCAGACAUAUACCCCGCGGCCACGGGGCGUGCGUUAUCGCCGGUUGAAACCAUGCUUGCAAAAGAGGCUAAGAAUUGCUUGUGACCGUUGGGGAAAACCCCUAGACUGUUCUCGGAUUAUCCGGUGCAUAUACAGGAUUGCAGUGUGUACUCAGUGGCAAUCAGGUAACGCAGGAGCGUCAGGCGAGUUCUCCGCACGGCGCUCCGCUCGGUAACGAUGCGUAAAAAGCCUUAAAAGGAAACUGCCGUUCCGGCAACGGCUCGGCGGCUUUUUGGGAAAACCGACCUGACCUAAGACACAAAAUUUACUGUAUAUGUUACCCCUAAUAUUUUUUA
rnacentral:sRNA from 1 species